CCCCUAGCCGCCAUCAGCCAUCUCCCCCACGCCAGCCCUCUUCCUCCUUGGCAUGCAUGCCCUCUGCUCUCUGCCUUCCAUGGCCGUCGGCCUCCACAGCACAGCAGUCACGGACGCCCCUGCCACUGCUCCAAAUGGCGAGCAACUCCCCUCGGCCAGCCAUGGCGCCCCCCUGCUCCUUCUUCCUCGGCGCGCUGAAGCUUUCCCCCAUGGCAGCGAGCUCGAGUUUCUCCCAUGGCGCCUUCCCAUGUUCUUCCCUGCUCGGCCAGCAACCAGGGCGUCCAAAGCCCCUGUGCUCGGCGUCCUUCUUCCACCUCCGGCCGACCUCCACCUUCCUGCUCCAUGGCCGCCCAGCAGCAGCGCCCCUCCCCUGCUCCACGGCGAGCAGCAGCUCGUCCACCUCUUCCUCCCAUGGUGCCCAGAAAUUCCAGCAGCAAGGACUCCCUCUCCUCCACAGCAGCAGCAGCUCGACCCUCCUCUCCUCGCUGGCGCAAACCUCUCCCAUGGCGCGCUGCAGCAGAUGCCCUGGAGCAUCCCCACCAUGGCUCGCGACCCGGCUUCCUCCCUGCUUGCGUGCUGCUGCGCAGUGCCCCGUCGGUGCUUGCUAUGUGCUCGACGAAAUGCGCAGCAAGCCACGCGUCGUCGAUUUCCUGCAGCAGCCCCGGCGUCUCCGCGCUCUACGGGCUCGCUGUUUUAUAAAGCGCAGCGAACAGGACGACGUCGACACUCGCCGGUUGCUUGCUGUUUUUGCGCAGCCCCGUCGUCGUCGUCGUUCACCCUCGGUGAGACCACGGCAAUCCUUGUUUGAUUCCACAUUGGCAUUAUUCUUCGGUGAUUAAUUGUGUAUAUGUGCUGUUUUGUUUUGUUUUAUGGAGGAGAGGAACCCCGUGUUUUGCGUGAAGAAGAAGGCAAGCCGCUCAACGCUCGUCGGAUGUGCGGAGCUAUGCACAAAUCGAAUCGCCAACGUUCUUACAAACACCGAUUGGGACCGAGAGAUGAUGAUUGAGCCAGUGAUGUGGUGCCAACCACAAGAUGCAGAUGGUGGAACCUAAGGAAGGAUGGACAUAACCAGUAUUUACUCGCUAAGCGAGUACCUCCCCCAGCAAACACUAUCUAUGUGUUAAAUUAAAGGUACUCCUUAGGAUGAUUGGUUGAUGGUGUGACUUGGCCUUCAUCCCUGCCACCGGGAUAGACGGUCGAGAGGGUUAUUGCUUCCGCAGAAGAGGACCAGGAGGAGUAGCGUGGCCAGGCUUCGCCAUGUUACUCGGGUUUUCUCCGUUAAUUAUUUCCGCUGCAUUAAAAUUUAUGAUUAUUAUUUCUGAAACUCCGAUAAUGUAAUCACUAAUGAUACUUAUUAAAUUUGUG
rnacentral:misc_RNA from 1 species